rnacentral:rRNA from 1 species
UACAGAGGUCCCAAGCGUUGUUCGGAUUCACUGGGCGUAAAGGGUGCGUAGGUGGUUAGGUAAGUCCGAUGUGAAAUCUCCAGGCUCAACCUGGAAAUGGCAUUGGAUACUAUUUAGCUUGAGGAGUGGAGAGGGGACUGGAAUUCUCGGUGUAGCAGUGAAAUGCGUAGAUAUCGAGAGGAACACCAGUGGCGAAGGCGAGUCCCUGGACACUUCCUGACACUGAGGCACGAAAGCUAGGGGAGCAAACAGG